GCCCGCCGGCGGGCGGCGGAGAUCAGUCAGCGUCUCUCUCCCUUUCGCUCACAGCCCGCGGCCGGCGAGCGCUGACUCAGAGCGGCACCGCCGCCCCGACCCGCUUCGCACGCGAUGCCGCCGGCCUCCCCCAAACCACCACCACCCCCCCCUCACCCUCCCGAACCACCCCGGCCCCGCUCCCGGCUCCGCCGCCGCGCCUCGCUGCUGCGCUCCCGCCCCGCUCGGGGCCGGGGCGGCGGCACGGCCGGGAGCGGCCCCGGCGCGCAGGCUCCUUUGUCUCUUGCCUUUCUCUGGGGUGAUGAUGUUAAAAGUCCUGCCAGUGGAGUAUCGCUGUCUUUGGAAUGGAGUAUGGACCCUCUCAGGUUUCUGUCCACUUUAUCAACAUGUCAAAAGAAGACACACUAUUUCAGCAGCCAGCAGCAACUCUGGAUGUGAUACAGCUUCUUUCCUCCUUGUGAUUUCUCUGUUUAUACAUCCGAGGUUGCAGGAAAGUUGGUGGGUUUGGCCACAGCACCAUCUUGGCAGUUGGUAAUCCACCAUGACCUGUUUGUCCUUUUCAUUUUGUGCUUCCCCAGGAUAAAGCUUUAUGUCAGUGGCAGGUGCAAAGAAACAUAAAGAAGCUGCAAAUUAGCAACAAAACCAGACCAGGCCAGCCUGGAAGGACGAGAUGUACGUGACCACAGGGCUGAGUUUGCGCAGAAGUAAGGGUCAACUGGCGAACACAGUGAAGAUGACUACGAGCCUUCAUCUGAAGACCCCUGACAACCACCUGAAGACUCCAACUGACAUGUGUAACAGACAUUAACAUAUGCUAAAUGAGUUCCCGGAAAAGUUACGAAUAUGAUAAAAAUGCAAUGAAUAUGUAUGACUAAGGUAGUAUAAAUGCUUGUUGAUUUCAUUCUCCCACACACACAUUAGGAGGAGCUCUCCCCUGUGUGCCUGGUGCUGUAAUAAAGAAUGCCUGCUUUCUAAAACUCCAAAA